rnacentral:rRNA from 1 species
CGGUAGUGAGUGGCGAACGGGUGAGUAACACGUAGGUAACUACCUCUAAGACGAGGAUAACGACUGGAAACGGUCGCUAAAACUGGAUAGGAUCAUUUGAGGCAUCUCGAAUGAUUUAAAGGGGCUUUCAAGCCACACUUAGAGAAAGGCCCUGCGGCGCAUUAGCUAGUUGGUGAGGUAACGGCUCACCAAGGCGACGAUGCGUAGCCGACCUGAGAGGGUCGAUCGGCCACAUUGGGACUGAGACACGGCCCAGACUCCUACGGGAGGCAGCAGUGGGGAAUAUUGCACAAUGGGGGAAACCCUGAUGCCAGCAACGCCGCGUGAGUGAUGACGGCCUUCGGGUUGUUAAAGCUCUGUCUUCAGGGACGAUAAUGACGGUACCUGAAGGAGGAAGCCACGGCUAACUACGUGCCAGCCGCCGC